GUGCUCGCUUUGGCAGCACAUAUACUAAAAUUGGAACGAUACAGAGAAUACUAGCAUGGCUCCUGCCCAAGGAUGACACUCAAAUUCACGAAGCAUUCCAUAUUUAA
rnacentral:snRNA from 1 species